CGGGCCCGAGGCCGCGGGGCGGGGGCAGCUCCGGCCCGGUCCCGCCGGGAGAGCGCGGGCCCCGCUCCGCCAGCGGGAGCGACGCCACCCGCACAACCGGAGGGGACGGAGCUGGCAGAGAGAUGACAUUCCUGCCUGGAACAGAUACAGCUGCAGUGUGAAUGGAGAGCUAUCCUCACAUGGCUGAGAGCACGCAAUGCUGAUGGGCGAGUUAAGUGUCCUCAGCCACCCCUUGUCUCCUGCAGUAAAUUCACCUCGUGGGUGCAGGCUCCAGGAAUACGAAGCUGCUGCUCCUGUUUCUCACAGCUGUGCUGCUGUCACUGUGCUGCUACAGUUGUGAGUGCUAGAACACGUGCCUUAAACAGCUAGAAAACUCCUGCAGCAAGGGAAACUGCCAUUUUCUCUCAGAGGACCUAAGGUCAGUCAGGAGCCUCCCACUCCAAAAGCCCUGAGAAGCUCCAGGAAGCUGACACCAGUGAAGCACUGAGGACCAGAAGAGUCUGUGGGUAACCUGCUGGAAGCCAGGAACUAUCUGUGGUGUCGUACCCCAAAUCUACCCAUAACAGUGGUCUGUCAGUGCUAGUAACAUCUCAGCACCCAGAGAGCCCACUGCUCUUGUCAGACCUGGAUGGAUGAAGUGGAAGGCAAGUUUGAGGAAUAAGUAUUGCAUUAUUAUAUUGAAUAAAUAGUAGGCAGCCGUUUUUCUUGCAGAUUAAGUAGGAUCUAAAUUACUUAACACCCAUGGAAUCUCUUUUUUCUUCUCCUUUUAGUGUACUCUCCUCCUCAAUCUUUUUUUAUAUAAUCUCUCUUUUAUUAUAUGUAAUACUGGUAAAUUCAGCAGCUAGAUUUACUUGCUGAUUGCCAGAAACUCAACUGCCACUGGUAGUUGGGAUCAUACCAGAAUCUCUGCAGGGAGAGCAGCAGGGGACUCUGCUGCUCUGAAAGGUCAGGGUACCUUAUCAAGACCUAGGUCUUACAGCAUCUGUGUAGGGUCACUAGAGGUUGAUUAUCCUUCUUUUUUUGUACCAUGGAACACAUUAGGCUGGAAUGACUUGUCUAAAAUCUUAAAACAUGGCAGUAACAGAGCUGGAAAUAAUCCCCAGAGGCAGGUGCUAUUUGUAACAUAUUUUCUGCAAAUAUUACUUUAUUUGGACAUGGUUUGGUCCAAAUUUUGCAAAUUUCAAAAAAUAAAAUAAGAAUUUCUCAUUACCAAACUUUUGGUGUCCACAUUUGAUUUUAAAUGCAAGGAUGUCUGUCAGUCUGAUGCUACUACUCAUCACUUUCUUACAUCCACCUUACAUGUAGUUUUUAAAUUUUCCUAGCUAUAACUCUACUGAUUCUAAAUUGUUGUAACUCACAUUCUGAAGAAAUAGGUCCAAUAAAAGCAAGUAACAAGAAGAUGUAAGAAAAAUGUCUAAAGCAUGGUGGGAACCAUUACCAUUAAAUUUAUACCUUAUUUAGUGCACCUCAUUCUAAUUCCUUUGUAUAUAGUGAUACAAGUUGAAAAUCCCAUACAUUUCCUAAGACUGAGACAAUCACUAAGAUUUUAAGAUGCUUGAAGAAACUAGCAAAACUAUUCCAGUCUUCAGUCCAGAACUUAUCUUUUGUACUUCUACUUACACUUGAUGGCCUAAAACUUAAUCUGCCUUAUUCAUCAUCUUCAUCCCCUAUCCUUAGAAACAGCUUAGCCAGAACAAAUAGUGAAUGUUCUACAAAAAUAGGUUUAGACAUUAAAGUCAUCUGUCCUGGCUUUUCCUGUGCAUCCUGGAGUUGCAGUACUGAUACCGUACAAAACACAACUCUAUUGUCAUAGAGGUAAUAAAUAAUACUGUGUGUUAGACUUGUGGGUACAAAGUGAGGGUUUAUGCUGUCCUCUAGCAAAUCAGAGAAUGCUAAAAUUUUUAAUCACAAAAGAUGUCUCAUCUCGUUUCUCCAUACUUGAUCUUACAUCUGCAGUUAUGAAAGUAAAAAUUACUGCUGUGGUUUUACACAAAAAGAGAAAUUCUGCAAGAGCAAAUUUAAUGGCAUUUCGACCACUUUGUAGUCCUUAGAAUCUGCCACAUUUUCCUCACCACUCAAAUGAUUUUAAAUUAUAAGUAGUUUUGCAAAGCUGUUAGCAUUAUUUUCUCAGCUCACCCAAAGUUUCUGCAAGACUUAUUAUCUAUGAUGAAUCACAUCUUUUAUUCAUAUAGUUAUAAAUGCAUUAAAGCUGUCAGGUAUAAUUUGCUGCUUUUUCUCCUUUAGAUUCAGCAUGGUUUCUGAAAAUAAGCUAAUUUAAUCACUAGGGAAUCUAAGUUAUAAUCAAAUUUAUUAUAUUUACCAGACUUGAAUUUCAGAUGGGAUAACAUUAAAAAUGUGCUUGUAGAGGAAAGAACAGAAUUGCCGGUGGGCAUUGAAUUAGCAGCCUGAAAAAUAUCUAAAAAUAUUGUGAUCCAGGGUGUUAUGAUGAUGAGAGGAGGAAGAGGAGUUCUGUUUAUCUGUAGCUUUUACAUGUUGCAAACUGGAAUGAAGGUCAGAACCCCAGGCCAAAGCUUCAAUUUAGGGGAAAGAGUGUUUUCUUUUUAGAUUUUCCAGUGACUUAGGGUGUGCCUUUAAAACAUGGUCCUGCAACUCUGCCUACAAAUCUCUAAAUUUCUGUUAGAAAGGACAUGCUGUUUGUGUGCUUGUAUGAGCACUUGCCACUGUACAUGACGUACCAGAUGUAAUCCUGUGAAUUCUGCAUCCAUCACAUUUCUGCUGAAUUCUGGAUGAGAUUUGUGCUUGGAAGGCUUCUGGAUCAAGGUUUCAUGUCAGGAAGUGCUGAGUGAAAGGCCUGUUCAAAACCAAUCCAACAGAAACACGAAAAAUGAGGUCUUUUCUUGUAGCUCGUGUUAUUCUCCUCUGAGUCUUGGUCCCCCAGUCCUCUUAACCAAGUUUAUGGCACAGAUUGUGUUUUAUUUAUUGAUAUAUGUUAAGACAGCCUCUUAUUUUGGGAUUAUAUUAGUUGCAUUUGUAUUGUGGAGAUUUCUGAUUCCCAAAGGUGCUGCCUUUUGUCUUUGUCUAUGCAAUUUAAACUGAAGCAGAGUUUUUGUUUUUCCCAAGGACUUCUACAGACUCUUAGAUAUUUAAAAUCUGAAUUAUGUUUCUUUAUGGUUUGUUAUCUGUUAAAGACUGCUGGCUGUGCUAAAAUGGGCAAAAGAGUUAAACAAGAAUAAAAAAGAAGUGUUCCAGAGAACCAAUA